rnacentral:lncRNA from 1 species
UUUGUGGCAUUAAAUGUUUAACAUAUGUUUUGUGUGUCGGUGGACACAAUUCUUGACCGAAAAUUGAUUAUAGACUGUAAAAUCGUCCGUUUAUGAAUUUUGGUCAAUUUCUGUUUGGAAUUUGGAAAAACUUUCUUCUGCAAAGUUGUAGAUAAUGGAAUUUCCCAUGAAAAAUCGCGAGUUUUGAAUUUUUCUGAUAACCGAG